rnacentral:lncRNA from 1 species
GUGAAUGUAUAUGACAGAUGGAAACGUUCUUAAAUCUGCACCACUGAUAGUAACUUAUGUGAUAGCAAGUUGAACAGAAGGAACAAAUUUAAGAAAAAAAAACAAAAAAGAAACAAAAUAUGUGUUUGGCUGUUAGGAGUGAAGAAGGGAAGGUUUAAGGGUGGUCCUUACUGAACUUCGAGCGAGAAAGUUUGGAACUGAUAGAACUAUAUCCUCUAUAAAGUUAAUUUAGUUUAAGAUUGUGCACCAUGCACUAACGAAUGGUCUUUUAUACUGGACCUUUAUGUAAAAUAGUCUAGAACUGAUAGAGCUAUCUAGUGUGAAUAAAGUUCAAGUUUAUAGCCAAACAUACGAUCUUGUAUAAUAUGUUUGACUCUGCGGUGAGAUGAAACGUGC